UUUGUCCUGCACAACAGAGAGGCAGUAACAGGAGGGUUUUUGCAGCCUUCAUCAGAGUUUCACAAGCCAAUAGGUACGGUUUUUAAGUCCUAUGCAUUUCUUGCUAUGUUCUAUGAGUGGGUGCUGUUAUUGUAUAUUUAUUGUGUAUCAGUUAAUUUCCAAUUCUUUUUAUAUAUAUUGUGUGUUUUUAAUGUUAGUUCGGCUGUUGCCUGUGCAAAGGCCAGACCAUGUGUGUGACUGCCAAGCAGGUAACGUUGAGGUUUCACCCGGCGCAGUUGUGGCUCUUGUAACCAUAAAUGGCUGUUAUAACCUUGCACUGCCAGUGGUGAGCUGCACCAGCUGUGACUUAAUGUGGUCCCCCUCAGUUAAGGACAUCCUGGGUAGUGGAUAUUGGCCUGGCACCUUAAAUUUCUGCACCCUGUUUUCAAUGGAUGCCUUUCAGUCUUUCUAUGACAUUAAGAAGGCUGCACCAGGGAUGUCACUUAAGGCAUUUGUCAAAAUGCUGGAUGAAAGAACAGCCCAUUUUUGAAGGACUGGCCGAAUAUCAGCUGAUGCCUUCAGUAAA